rnacentral:rRNA from 1 species
AGGGAAUAGAUACCCGGGUAGUCCACGCCCUAAACGAUGUCGACUGGUUGUUGGGGGUUUGACACUCUCAGUAAACGAAAGCUAAACGCGUGAAAGUCGACCGCCUGGGGAGUACGGCCGCAAGGUUAAAACUCAAAGGAAUUGACGGGGACCCGCACAAGCGGUGGAUUAUGUGGAUUAAUUCGAUGCAACGCGAAAAACCUUAACCUACCCUUGACAUGUCCUGAAUCCUGGAGAGAUCCGGGGUGCCCGAAACGGGAACGGGAACACAGGUGCUGCAUGGCUGUCGUCAGCUCGUGUCGUGAGAUGUUGGGUUAAGUCCCGCAACGAGCGCAACCCUUGUCAUUAGUUGCUACCGCAAGGAGCACUCUAAUGAGACUGCCGGUGACAAACCGGAGGAAGGUGGGAUGACGUCAAGUCCUCAUGGCCCUUAUGGGUAGGGCUUCACACGUAAUACAAUGGUCGGUACAGAGGGUUGCCAAGCCGCGAGGCGGAGCCAAUCCCAGAAAGCCGAUCGUAGUCCGGAUCGCAGUCUGCAACUCGACUGCGUGAAGUC